UGGGUUGUGGCUCAGCGGCAGAGCACUCGCCUAGCAUGAGUGAGGCCCUGAGUUCGAUCCUCAGCACCACAU
rnacentral:tRNA from 1 species